rnacentral:rRNA from 1 species
GCCCUCUGAUGUCUGUCUAAUGGCAGGUGCCUUCCCUUGGGGUUGGUAUGUGUGAUGCGCUUACCAGGCACCGCACGCAUUGAGGGUGAAUGGUCUACUUGUCAGUGCACUUUCUCAGGGUGUUCACCACGACCGGCACAGCCGUCUGUCUGCUUUGGUCAAACUGAUCAGGUCUGGUUUUUGCUAGGCUUGGUUGGGAUGGAAGGUAGCCCUUGUUCAAUUUUGGACGUUGGGUAUAAUGAGCUGGCCAUUGUGGAUCUGUAUGGUGUGUCGGAGUUGGCGGCUUUGCAUGCGUGCUCUGUCCUGCGGGCGGGAUUGAGUCUGGUUGGCUUGUUACUGACCUCGGUUAGUCGGUCGAUGGCUUAGUCUUGUUCAGUGGGCGGUUGCGUGUGUGACUUGGUUUGGGCCAAUAGUCUGUGGUGUAGUGGUAGACGAUCCACCUGACCCGUCUUGAAACACGGACCAAGGAGUUUAACAUAUGCGCGAGUCAUUGGGCGUUACGAAACCCAAAGGCGAAGUGAAGGUAAAGGUUUGGCUUGUCCGAACUGAGGUGAGAUCCCGUUGGUUUUGCCUAAUAAAUAACCGAACUGCGAACAGCGGGCGCAUCACCAGCCCGUCCCAUGGCGUA